AUGAUGUGUUACAGAAUUCACAUCACUCCAUCCAAAAUAUACUGCUUGGGACCUGAGGAAGAACUUUCAAAUUAUGUGGUUAAGCAUCACAAACAGUAUGCUUCUGACUUUGCUAGAGUUACUUUUGUCGAUGAAGACUGGAGCAAGCUUUUUCCAGAUGUUAUCUCAGCUAGAACUGGACGAGAGUUCUUUUCUCGACCCUUGAAAACUAGCCUAUAUUAUCGUAUUUUAUCCAUCCUGAAAGAAGGAUUUUCCAUUGGUCCAAAGAAGUAUGAAUUCCUGGCCUUCUCAGCAAGUCAACUUCGUGGAAGUUCUAUUUGGAUGUUUGCUUCUAAUGAUUCCCUAAAGGUUGAGGAUAUAAGAAGGUGGAUGGGCAACUUUGAAGAAAUUCGUUCAGUAUCUAAGUGUGCGGCUAGAAUGGGCCAGCUGUUCAGCUCCUCUAGACAAACACUUGAAAUCCUACCACGGGAUGUAGAAGAGAUUCCAGAUAUUGAAGUCACAACUGAUGGCACUAAAUAUAUAUUUGCUGAUGGUGUCGGGAAGAUCUCUGAGAGAUUUGCUAAAGAAAUGGCUUGCCGAAUUGGAUUAGACUAUACUAACCCUCCUUCGGUUUUUCAAAUAAGGUAUGGUGGCUACAAAGGAGUUGUUGCUGUCGACCCUGAUUCCUUUCGUAAUCUUUCUCUGCGACCCAGUAUGAAGAAAUUUGAAUCAAAGAGCAAAAUGUUUAACAUUACAAGUACCAGCAAAUCCCAACCAUGCUAUAUGAAUCGUGAAAUUAUCUCUCUCCUUUCAACUUUGGGGAUAAGAGAUGAGAUAUUUGAGUUGAUGCAACAAGAUGAUAUGCGUUUAGAUGAAAUGUUGACCAAUAGAGAAGUUGCUCUCUCUGUUCUGGGGAAAAUUGGUAGUGCAGAAACGAAGACAACAUCAAAAAUUUUACUGGAAGGUUAUGAACCAAGUUUAGAGCCUUACCUGUUGAUGAUUCUUAAGGCCCAUCAAGAUAAUAGGCUGACUGACAUAAGAACUAGAUGUAAGAUUCAUGUUCCGAAAGGCUGUGUUCUUAUUGGUUGUUUGGAUGAAACAUGUGAAUUAGAAUAUGGUCAAGUAUACAUCAGAAUUUCAAAGAGCAGCAAAGAGCAGAAGGAUAAUUGUCAACCCUAUUUUUCUGAAGAUAAUGGGAAAGAGAAAACAGCAGUUGUUGUUGGAAAAGUUGCAGUAUCGAAAAAUCCUUGUCUCCAUCCUGGUGACAUCAGAGUACUUGAAGCUGUCUAUGACCAUGGAUUGUACACUAAGAACCUGGUUGAUUGUGUUGUCUUCCCUCAAAGAGGAGAAAGGCCUCAUCCAAAUGAAUGCUUCGGGGGCGAUUUGGACGGUGACCUCUAUUUUAUCACUUGGGACGAGAAACUGAUUCCAGAGAAGGUUGAUUCACCUAUGGACUAUACUGCAGCAAGGCCACGCAUAAUGGAUCAUGUUGUUACACUUGAGGAAAUUCAGAAGUACUUUGUAGAUUACAUGAUAAAUGACUCGCUCGGUGCAAUCUCAACUGCUCACUUGGUCCACGUGGAUCGUCAUCCAAUGAAAGCCCGGAGCCCUGAGUGCCUCCAGCUAGCUGCUUUGCAUUCGAUGGCGGUCGACUUCGCCAAGUCAGGAGCUCCAAAUGCCCCGAUCACUGAUCUGAGACCAAAGGAGUACCCCGACUUCAUGGAAUGGUGGGACAAACCAACGUACAUCUCCGACGGAGCUCUCGGCAAGCUCUACCGAGCGGCUGCGAGCCGUAUGCAGAGCGCACCUGCCACCCCGUCCUCGGCUCAAGCGAGCCCCGCGUUCGAUCCCAACCUGGAGGUCCCUGGCUUCGAGGAUUUCCUGGCAUCCGCGGAGGAGUGCUACGAUCUGUACGCGGAGAAGCUGAGCACCCUGAUGGUCUACUACGGCGCGGAGCACGAGGACGAGAUCCUGACCGGCAACAUCCGGAACUGGCUCCUGUACCUGAAGAAGGACAACAAGAGGUACUUCGAGAUGAAGGACCGCAUCAUCGACUCUGUCGAGGGCCUGCACAAGGAGGUGCUGGGUUGGUUCACGAGCCGCCCGAAGGCGGAGGCGGCGAGGAGGACCUCGGCGUGGUACCGCGUGACCUAUCACCCGGGCCACCGCCGGCCGGGAAAGAAGCAGUUCUGGAGCUUCCCGUGGAUUGUCUGCGACGAGCUGCUGAAGAUCAAGGAGUCCAAUGAGCGGCGCAGGCAGCAGGUGGACGAUGUUGGCGCCGCCUCUCGUUGCAGCGCCUCUCUCCUUCUUCCUCGAGCUGCCUCACACAACUUUCUCAUCUCUCUUGUGGUUUCUCUCCUCUCUCAAGAACACACACACACACACGCAUAUACCAGGGAAGAACACAUAGCUUUGCCAAGUGACUCUCCCUUGGCUACCACGAAGGCUACAUUUUGCCUCAGUCCUCACGGCCUCAUUUCUCAUUCCUUUUCUUGA
rnacentral:rRNA from 1 species